rnacentral:rRNA from 1 species
AUUAGCUAGAUGGUGAGAUAACAGCCCACCAUGGCAACGAUUGGUAGCCGGCCUGAGAGGGUGAUCGGCCACACUGGAACUGAGACACGGUCCAGACUCCUACGGGAGGCAGCAGUGGGGAAUAUUGGGCAAUGGGCGAAAGCCUUACCCAGCAAUGCCGCGUGUGUGAAGAAGGUCUUCGGAUUGUAAAGCACUAUAUUGGGGAAGAACACAAUGACGGUACCCAAGAGAAAAAGCCCCGGCUAAUUAUGUGCCAGCAGCCGCGGUAAUACAUAGGGGGCGAGCUUUGUCCGGAAUUACUGGGCGUAAAGGGUGCGUAGGUGGUAAUGUGUGUUGGAAGUGUAAUCCCUCGGGCUUAACUCAGGGGCUGCUUCCAAAACUACGUUACUUGAGUGUCGGAGAGGAAAACGGAAUUCCUAGUGUAGCGGUGAAAUGCUCAGAUAUUAGGAGGAACACCAGAGGCGAAGGCGGUUUUCUGGACGACAACUGACGCUGAGGCACGAAAGCGUGGGUAGCGAAUGGGAUUAGAUACCCCAGUAGUCCACGCCGUAAAUGAUGGGUACUUGAUGUUGGGAGUAUCAACUCUUCCAGUGUCGUAGCUAACGCGAU